rnacentral:rRNA from 1 species
AUUGAACGCUGGCGGCAUGCCUUACACAUGCAGGUCGAACGGCAGCACGGGAGCAAUCCUGGUGGCGAGUGGCGAACGGGUGAGUAAAGUAUCGGAACGUGCCCAGUCGUGGGGGAUAACGUAGCGAAAGUUACGCUAAUACCGCAUACGAUCUAUGGAUGAAAGCGGGGGAUCGCAAGACCUCGCGCGAUUGGAGCGGCCGAGAUCAGAUUAGGUAGUUGGUGGGGUAAAGGCUCACCAAGCCAACGAUCUGUAGCUGGUCUGAGAGGACGACCAGCCACACUGGGACUGAGACACGGCCCAGACUCCUACGGGAGGCAGCAGUGGGGAAUUUUGGACAAUGGGCGAAAGCCUGAUCCAGCCAUGCCGCGUGCAGGAUGAAGGCCUUCGGGUUGUAAACUGCUUUUGUACGGAACGAAAAGGUUUGGCCUAAUAAGCUGAGCUCAUGACGGUACCGUAAGAAUAAGCACCGGCUAACUACGUGCCAGCAGCCGCGGUAA